CCUUGUACGUGCUUGAUCUCUUCUGAUCUCAGAAGCUAAGCAGGGUU
rnacentral:rRNA from 1 species